AAGGCUAUAGUCAAAAUUAUGACACAUGAGUUGCAUUCAUGAGGUGUUUUCUAAACUAGCUUUA
rnacentral:tRNA from 1 species